CAUGAGUCCUCCCAUUGCUUAACAGGCGAUAUGAUGUUCUGUAUGCAGAACACCGGUUAUGAGACGAUUGUGAACGAAAUCAUAGCACUGAACGUGGGCGCGCAACCUCCACAACCUAACGUUGCGGUCGAGGUGCCCGGGAUUAGGCCUGACAUCACCCCAGCACCCGCGAGCGCUCAGUCGAUAAGUACAGCGAGGGAGCGAGCCGUGAGAGAUACGCUAACUGAAAACAGGGGAUCGCUCUCUUGUUUAAGAUGACUUGUUAACCGAUACCAGACCAUUACAACUGCUGAUCGACAUGAACAGCAAACAGUGCUAGACACGGGCCAUCGUUAGGAAGAAGAGUGGAUGUGACUGCUCAGAUCCAUGCACCGCCGCAAAUAUCUACUAAUUCUGCACCUAUUGGUGUUAGAAGAUCACGCCAGGAAGACCAGAACGUGACUGCUCUGCCGGUUCAGGCCAAUGGACAAAAGACUGCAAACCCCUGUGAGAUCAGUGUGAUACCUAACACCCCUGAGCAAAAACGUCCAAGACAAUCAACUCAAUCAGAAGACACGGAGUUCUGGAACGAACAUUUUGCUCAAGCAUGGGAUGGAUGUGAUAUGAACGCCCCAUCUAAUGUGGAUCAAGAGAAGAAUUUAAAUCAACCCACAGACACUGUUGAAAACGUCGCAGAUUCAGAUGAUGAUGCAGACAAGCUUCCUUCAAACCAGGAGUAAUACAAGAACCAACAGCAGAACGACACAAACAAAGACAUUUUGAACACUAUUGCCAAGAGCCCAGAAAGAAUUAUAAAGGACCAAGCACGUUUUAAUCAGACUUUUGCCAAGAACCAACAACAGAACGACACAAACAAAGACAUUUUGAACACUAUUGCCAAGAGCCAAGAAAGAAUUAUAGGGGACCAAGCACGUUUUAAUCAGACUAUUGCCAAGAACCAACAGCAGAACGACGCAAACAAAGACAUUUUGAACACUAUUGCCAAGAACCAACAGCAGAACGACGCAAACAAAGACAUUUUGAACACUAUUGUCAAGAACCAAAAAAGAAUUAUAGAGGACCAGCAGAAACACUGGAUCAUCCUUAAACGAAUUAUUGCGUUACUAAAACGUCAUGAUGGCGGACAUGCUCAGACGGCCUGUGAUCAGGAAAUGACUGUAACGCUGUUAACUGAACUGCUGGGGCUUUUUAAAUAACUGUAUUGGUGAGUCCUAUUUUCUUUACCCAGUUUUUUUUUCCUAAGUGUGUAUUGGUUUUUGUCACAAGUGUGCAUAGAUGUGGUUUUAUGAUUAGAUUUUUUCCUUCUUCUAGGUUUAGUUGUGUGGGGUGUAUUUUGUAAAUAUUUUUUUAAAUAAAUUAGAGUUAGAAAUGGCUGCGAAACGUUGUCGGGAGUCAUGUGAUGGUGAACAAGAUCCUCCGUUAAGGAGCAAUAGGGAUGA